rnacentral:lncRNA from 1 species
UUUCUCGGAGGAAUUCAAUCAUAUUUAUUGUAUUUGCAUGUGUCAUAUGUAUUUGCAGCAAAGGAAUUGCGAGUUUAGGGUUUUGAAGCUUAACCUUUGUUCUAAUUUUUGUUGUUGUGAGCGUGUGGUGAUUUGGAGAUAGGUUUAUAUGAAUGGAAGUUGUGUGUGGUAUAAUUAUUUACACAAUAUACUCAUGGUGAUAUUAUAUUCACAGAUUUAUGCCCUACGGCCGUUUGACAAAAUCCCUG